UAAAAAAAAUUUUAAAAAUUAAAUAGCCAAAAAAAGAGAAAUAUUUCUAAGUCAAAGAAGCUAAAUGAUAACUUAAAAGAUAACACACACAUUUAAAAACUUUUCAAGUUAGGUCAAUUGCCAAAGGUCACAGAUCUGAGAGGUGGCACAGCCAGGGUUAGAAUCCCGGCUUCUGACCCAGGGCUCAAAGUCUCCCCCAGGAUGCUCCUCCACCCAUGAGCAGUAACGACAAUAGUAACUACACUGAUAAUAAUGACUGCCUGCGCUUACAGUGCACUUGCCAUGUGCCAGACACCGUUCCAAGUGCGUUACACAGAUUCGCUGAAUUCAUUCUCCCAUAACUCUACUUUCUAUUAUCUUUUUGUACAGAUGAGGAAACUGAGGCACAGAGCACUGGGACACUGAUUUCCUUCAACAAGUGUAAGUUGAACCGCUCUGUGUGUUGUGCACUGCACUAGGGGCCCAGAGGUGAGGAAGACGUUGAUCUUAUCGUCUGGGAUCGUCAGCAGGGUCCAUGGCCACGAUCAGCAGAAUGGGCUCAGGGUGGGAUUCCAGAACUUGAAAUGGGGGAUGAUAAGAAUCGGGCAUCCUAGGGUAUCCUAGAGAGAUGAGCACACCGGGAGGUCACAGCAGGAACCCAAACACAGGAGCAAGACAGCAUCCUAUGGUCAGACUGAGACCCGAGGUCAGAUAUGGGCCAGCGGCAGGACAGACAGAACCAGAGCCAUGUUACUCCACCUGCAGUGCAGCCUUAAGUGCAAGACUCCAGAGCCAAGCUGCCAGAUUCAAAUCCUCGCUCCACCUCGCUUUAGCUGUGUGGCCUUGGGCAAGUUAAUGAACCUCUCUGGGCCUCAGUAUCCUCAUCUGGAAAAUGGAGAUAAUAACAGUGCCCACAUCAUAGUGAGUUAAUAUGAGUUAAAUGAGUUAAUACAUGAGACACCCUUAGACCAGGGCCUGGCCCAUGUUUUGCUCUCUGGGUUGGCUCUCAAGCUCUCAUCAGCCUAUGAUCACAUUGGGUCCUUCAUGCUGAGACAGGCAGAGGCUGCAAGAGGGGCUGAGUUGUCCUUGUGGCAGGAAGAAGAAAACUAGAAGAAACCAGUUAGGGCCUGUCCCUGUUGGCUUCAAGGGGAAGGAGAGGUGAACGCUGGUGGGACAGAGAGGGAAUUCACAUCCUUGGUAUGAAAGGUCAGCAAACGGGCCUGGGGCUCUUCCUUCUUAACCUCCUGAGGCCAAGAUGCAGGUGCCUGGCACUGGGAAGUGGAGAAUUUCUCUGGACUGGCAUUUACAGUGGCGCCACUGUUGUCCAAUUACGGGCAUGAAGAGGGGCUCCGCUGCCUUCGCACAGCUCCUCAAUCAUCCAGGACAGGAAUAUUGAUCUAUUCCCAGCAUCCUCUCUAUAAACUUCCCCAACCUCAGUCUCCGGCUUGGAAGCAAGACAGAGGUGGCCGGGGGCGGUGGUGGAAGGCAGCCAUGUUCUGUUGCAGUAAAUCUUUCCUAGAAGCCCUGCCUGCUUUCCUAGAAGAGGAGACAGCUGAGCUCAUCAGCCAGGGCUGGAUCAGCCCAGAAAGAGUCCCUUCCAACCCCUAGAAGAUCCCUCAGCGACUUGGGAAAGGAACGGCUCACUGGGGUGCCUUGUUUGUGGACGUGGGACCGUCAGACUGAGCAGAGGUGUCUCGUGACACAUUAGAGCAGCUGAGAAAGAAGGCCGGCCUUUUGGAGCCUCUUCCGGAAGCCUAGGGCCCCAGAAGAUGGCAAGAGGGUCUAGAAUUUGCCUUGAAAUGAGAAUUUCUUGCUUCAUGAUCUCAUCAUCCAUCAGCGGCUAAAGAUGAGUGUGGGGCCACUGGGAUGAGAAGGGGGUGAUGGCUUGGGAGGUGACUGGUUUAUCUGCCCCACCCAGACCCAACCUCCCGGGAGGGCAACACCUGCCCCUCACCUUGGAGCACAUUUCCUUUCUGGCUUCCUGCUGAGCAUAAAUGGCCAGCAAAAUGGACACAGAAGGUGUCUAAGGCACGCCCAAGUGGCAGCUUGAGUUUCUUGAAGUUGAGGUGAACUGGGAACCAACGGCCUAGAUUUUGUCCCAGAUUCUCAGCUGGGAGUUUGCUCAGUGCCUAAGCCUUUCCCCCUCUGGCCAAGCCAACCACAGUGUUUCGGUAAACUCCUCGGUGUGCUGGGAGCCCCAGCCUUUAUUCUACUACCCUCACAGUGAUCUACUCUAAUGGAGCAGAAUGGUGACACCGAAAAUACUAAACAUGGAAGAUGACUCAAAAUGACAGAUGAUUCACUCCAGAACUCACGCUUCCAGUUGCCUCUCCGGAUUUACCUUGCUAAUUCCAAGCUUCCACUGCUAUUACAAUAACCUUGCCUUCCUUGUUGACAAGAUGACCAGGGACAAAGGGGAACCAGUCAAGAGACCUCGUUUUGUCUAAAAUAAUACAUCCAUGAAUGAAUGAAUUGAGCACAACUGUCCUUUAACAUUGAUGGAAGAUUCUAUGGAAUUAAGAGAACUUUCAGGGCUGCCACUAGCAUGGGUAGAUUAAGUUUGUCCUUGUGUUCUGAGCAAGGGUUGUGAAGCCAACUGUGAUGCAGUUUCCUUGGCCCGCAAAAUGACCAAUGGCUUUUGAGGAAGGACUAAGUGACUUAUGACCAAGACAAAGGAUCAGGCUGGGUCCAUCUCCCCAGUGUGUACAUUAUGUUGUUUAUAAUAGGAAAAAAUAGACGCAACCUAAAUAUUCGCCCAUAGGGUAUUAGCUAAUGAACAUCUGUAUGAUAGAACACUAGGCAGUCAUUAGAAUUAUGUGCUAGAAGACAAGUUAAUCUCAUGGGAAAAUGUUCACAACAUAUCAUUAAAGGGAAAAAGCAGAUUAUAAACCAGUAUGUGCAAUGUUUUAUGUAGCAGUUUUAUAAGAAAAAAGCAUUGUGUACAUUUUCUAACUGGAAGAACAUGUAUAAAAAUGUUAACUGUGUUAUCUCUGGGUAAUAAGAUUUGGCUUAAUGUUUA